GGGCGGUUAGCUCAGUUGGGAGAGCAUCGGCCUUACAAGCCGAGGGUCGGCAGUUCGAGCCUGCCACCGCCCACCA
rnacentral:tRNA from 2 species